rnacentral:rRNA from 1 species
GCCGGCAGGUAGCUCUCUGCAACUCUCACAUGGUUGCCUUCUGAAGCUAAGCAGGGCUGUGCCCGCUUAUUACCUGGAUGGGAGACCAGACUAGAAAGCUAGGUUGCUGCCGGAA